CCCAGCAUAGGCGCGCAUAGGCACGGAGGCGGAGUCCCGCUGCCGGACGGGUGGCCUCUGUCCGGGCGUCUCGACCACCCGGGUGGGAGGGUGGGGAAGCCAGGGCCCACCUAAGGGCCCUAGGGGGCAGGGUUUGUGGCCGCCCCGCGUCUCGCCCCCUCCAGGUGCAGCGCGGCUUUCACCCGCCAGAGGGCGCCGGGAGAACGCUCCCGGGACCUAUGCGCACCCACGCGGGAAGCGGCCCGUCUCACUCCUUCUCUCCUCGUAGAAUUGGCCCGGAAACCUCCCGGCAAUGUCGCGGAGUCCUAACUAUCCACGGCCACACCCCUCCUUGUACGCUCCCUCCCCCCUCGUAUGUUAUGUGUGUGUGAUGGGAGCAGGAGUGUUCUGGACUGGUGUGGCCCUUCCAGACACGUGGGAACUGGGAGGGGGCAGAGCCCACCUCCCCAGCCUGGACCCACCUCCCCUUCGCCCGGGGUUGAAGGGGCUCAAGUGCUCAGUUAGAGCACCAGAGGCCUACCCACCCUACCUCCGGGAAACUUGGAAGCUGCGGCCAGCCAGCACUGGCCACAGCAGCCCCCAGACCACUUCUGCCAGCCAAAGUGGGGGGAUGGUGUGUAGAGUGAACUUACCCCCUCCCCAUCAUUUGUCUCCCUGUCAGCCUCCUCGCCUGCUCUGAUCCACAAGACGGACCCACGAGGGCUGGAAAGCUCAAGCCGGACCCUACCAGAAUCGGAACCAGCCAGCCAGGCAGGAGGGAGGCUUGGAAAGGAGCUGCAACAAGAACAGACAUACUUCUUGGACUGUGUAUCAGUGGGGAUAGGCGGCCCCCCAGCUCUUCCCCACCCUGGUUCUCCCUUCUUGGCUCCCCUGGUUGAGGGGCCUCUGUCCAUUUGUCCAGGCUCAUGAUGCUGCUGUGGGGCCUGGAGGCCCCUGGCACCUGGGGAGGAGGGGUGGGCCCACAGCUGGGAACAGGAGAGUCUUUCAUCCAGAGGAGAGCAGGGGGAAGCCACAGGGCACCUCCCUCAGCUCUCCCAGCUGGGCCCGCAGUCCUUGCCCCGAGAAAGCCUCCACACUGGCCCCAGCCCUCUGCCAUGUGGACCUGUAGGAAGUGUCUGGGCCAAGUCCCACCCAAUCUCCACCUGUAGGUCCACUAGAGACACAGCCCCUCAGCCUAGCCCCCCAGCCCGACAGGCUGGCAUCUCAGGCUCAGGGCAUCUCCAAGACAGACACACCUGGGUCUAUGCCUUAGCACUUCACAGCUGGGUGUCUAAUGGAGCUUGU